AACGUAGGUCACAAGCGUUGUCCGGAAUUACUGGGUGUAAAGGGAGCGCAGGCGGGAAGACAAGUUGGAAGUGAAAUCUAUGGGCUCAACCCAUAAACUGCUUUCAAAACUGUUUUUCUUGAGUAGUGCAGAGGUAGGCGGAAUUCCCGGUGUAGCGGUGGAAUGCGUAGAUAUCGGGAGGAACACCAGUGGCGAAGGCGGCUUACUGGGCACCAACUGACGCUGAGGCUCGAAAGUGUGGGUAGCAAACAGG
rnacentral:rRNA from 1 species